AACAGGAUUAGAUACCCUGGUAGUCCAUACCGUAAACGAUGAAUGCUAAGUGUUGGAGGGUUUCCGCCCUUCAGUGCUGCAGCUAACGCAUUAAGCAUUCCGCCUGGGGAGUACGGCCGCAAGGCUGAAACUCAAAGGAAUUGACGGGGGCCCGCACAAGCGGUAGAGCAUGUGGUUUAAUUCGAAGCUACGCGAAGAACCUUACCAGGUCUUGACAUACUAUGUAAAUCUAAGAGAUUAGACGUUCCCUUCGGGGACAUGGAUACAGGUGGUGCAUGGUUGUCGUCAGCUCGUGUCGUGAGAUGUUGGGUUAAGUCCCGCAACGAGCGCAACCCUUAUUAUCAGUUGCCAGCAUUAAGUUGGGCACUCUGGUGAGACUGCCGGUGACAAACCGGAGGAAGGUGGGGAUGACGUCAAAUCAUCAUGCCCCUUAUGACCUGGGCUACACACGUGCUACAAUGGCAUAUACAACGAGUCGCCAACCCGCGAGGGUGCGCUAAUCUCUUAAAGUAUGUCUCAGUUCGGAUUGUAGGCUGCAACUCGCCUACAUGAAGUCGGAAUCGCUAGUAAUCGCGGAUCAGCACGCCGCGGUGAAUACGUUCCCGGGUCUUGUACACACCGCCCGUCACACCAUGAGAGUUUGUAACACCCAAAGCCGGUGGGGUAACCUUUUAGGAGCCAGCCGUCUAAGGUGGGACAGAUGAUUAGGGUGAAGUCGUAACAAGGUAACC
rnacentral:rRNA from 1 species